CGUUCUCUACCCACGUAUUUGUGCUGGGUUUUUCCAUGUUCCUGCAGAACCAUUCUUCUCUUGUCUGCACUUUGGUCCACCCGCAAACCACUUUAUGACAGAAGGAACCAGCCAACAGGACCAAGCAGACAGAGUUCAAGAGCUGAAAAAGUGGAUAAGACAGCAGGAGGAGGAAUUGAGGAAACUGCAUGGUGAAGAGGUGGAGAUAUUACCUUCGCCCUUGUUGCUCCAGGAAAUGGAGGAGGCUGGAAUCAGCCUACCGACGCUGGUAUCUCCAGUUCUCAUACCGGGUCGGAAUCGCUCCAGUUUACCUCCGACAGUCUCGGCCACCUCCACCUCCUCACGCCGCUGCCGUCAUCGCCGUUACAACAUGUUGCUGCCCAGCUCUUGUCUGCACUUUGGUCCGCCUGCAAACCACUUUAUGACAAAACGUUUGGGAGUGUAACCACACAAAAUAGAGAAAGGAAAUGGCAUUAAGCCUUUAAGUGCACCUCUGGCUGUUGAUGUAGAGUCAUGAGGGGUGGUUGUUAAACAGCUCCCACAAUGGAAUGGAAAACUCUUCAAGCAGCUCCAGCUCUCAUACUUUUAGUCAUAUAAACAGGUGCAGUGUUUAAUUACCUUAAACCCAACAUGAUGUGUAAAGCUUGCAAGUAACAGCAUAAUGAUUACAAUUGUGGUAUGAUAUUUUUCUUGAAAAAUCCAUUUGUGAACACCUUCAGAUGAAAAGUGACCCCUAAAAAAUAAAAAAAAACUCUAAAAGACACCACUCCCACAUGGAAUGAAUGUGCUACAGGUAAGAGUGGAGUUUAGGGGAUUCUUAAAGUAGGAUUCACCCUUUUAUUUUUGUAAAGUAAGAAAGCACACUUUUUAUUUCAUUUUAUUGUAAGAUAAUCCCAGAAUCCUUGUAGAAUAUUUGAAAUCCUUAUCUGUACAAUUUCUAUAACUGCUUUUCAUGUUGUGGUCAGAGUUACAUUUCUUCUGUGUUUUCAUGCUUUUUAUUAAUGUUCAUUAAAAGUAUUAUUACUUAU